rnacentral:rRNA from 1 species
AUUGAACGCUGGCGGCAGGCCUAACACAUGCAAGUCGAGCGGAGCGGCGGACGGGAGAGUAAUGCCUAGGAAUCUGCCUGGUUGUGGGGGAUAACGUCCGGAAAAGGGCGCUAAUAACGCAUAAUAUCAGAUGAGCCUAGGUCGGAUUAGCUAGUUGGUGUGGUAAAGGCCUACCAAGGCGACGAUCCGUAACUGGUCUGCGAGGAUGAUCAGUCACACUGGAACUGUGACACGGUCCAGACCCCUACGGGAGGCAGCAGUGGGAAAUAUGGGACAAUGGGCGAAAUCCUGAUCCAGCCAUUCCGCGUGUGUGAAGAAGGUCUUCGGAUUGUAAAGCACUUUAAGUUGGGAGGCGUUACCAACAGAAUAAGCACCGGCUAACUACGUGCCAGCAGCCGCGGUAAUUC